AAACUGUGAAGCUGAAUAGCAUGUGCUGUUUAAGAUCAAGCUGCAUGACUCUUAGGGCUAGGUUUUGAGACUUUUUUUUCCUACUGCCAGGCAUGAUGUAGACAAGCCAUAGACAUUUUCUUUCUUAUCUGUCUCCUGUAAGUGCCAAGCAAGUGAACCUCAGGUCUUCCUGGUUUUUGGAAGACUGUGCUAGUUUGGUGAGUAUUUGACAAUUCAAGUUUCUUCUACAUAGAAGGCAUCAGAGUGACAUUUCCUAGGAAAAUUCAUGCUGUGGGCACAGGCUGUGUGACAGUGAAAUGACAAUAUUAGGUGCUCGGGCUCCAUCCUUUCUGUCCCCUUUCAGAACAUGUUUUAAACAUAUUAAAGACGUUUUUCUCUCUUGUGGUAAGUUAAUUUUGACACUCAUAGGUCAACAGUCACAUCAGUCAUUUGUUUUGGUGAUGAGCACUUCUGUAAUAUUUCUUGUGUAGAGUUGGCAGGAAUCUUACAGUCCUUCUCCCAACAGCUGAAAAGACUGAAGUGUUGAAAACAACUUGUCGAAUAUAAAAGCAAGAGCCCUAGAUCUCCGAGAAAGCACAUCUUUGCUCUUAAAGUCAAGGCUGGCUCUCAGUAGGGCACAUCCACUCAGACUUUCUGGCCCUGUCCAUGAGCACUCUGGAUCUCUGCAAUGGGGCAACGUAAUGAACCAUCCUUUGGUGUUACCUGAGAGUGAAGAGAGAAAGAUGCAUAAUGAAC
rnacentral:lncRNA from 1 species